rnacentral:rRNA from 1 species
CAGUCGCCGCGGUAAUACAGAGGGUGCAAGCGUUAAUCGGAAUUACUGGGCGUAAAGCGCGCGUAGGUGGUUUGUUAAGUUGGAUGUGAAAUCCCCGGGCUCAACCUGGGAACUGCAUCCAAAACUGGCAAGCUAGAGUAUGGUAGAGGGUGGUGGAAUUUCCUGUGUAGCGGUGAAAUGCGUAGAUAUAGGAAGGAACACCAGUGGCGAAGGCGACCACCUGGACUGAUACUGACACUGAGGUGCGAAAGCGUGGGGAGCAAACAGGAUUAGAUACCCGCGUAGUCCCUGUCUCUUAUAA